AAUAAGAUGCCCGAACAAUUAAGGACUACUUUGAUGUAGUAGAACAUGUGAUACACUCACUCUUAUUA
rnacentral:tRNA from 1 species